rnacentral:tRNA from 1 species
GAGGAAGGUUUGCCUGACAGAUGAAUCCUGCUAAAUUUCAUUUACCUCGGUUGAACUCCGGGGCUAUCCUUA